GCGAACGGGUGAGUAACGCGUAGGUAACCUGCCUUGUAGCGGGGGAUAACUAUUGGAAACGAUAGCUAAUACCGCAUAACAAUGGAUGACACAUGUCAUUUAUUUGAAAGGGGCAAUUGCUCCACUACAAGAUGGACCUGCGUUGUAUUAGCUAGUAGGUGAGGUAAUGGCUCACCUAGGCGACGAUACAUAGCCGACCUGAGAGGGUGAUCGGCCACACUGGGACUGAGACACGGCCCAGACUCCUACGGGAGGCAGCAGUAGGGAAUCUUCGGCAAUGGGGGCAACCCUGACCGAGCAACGCCGCGUGAGUGAAGAAGGUUUUCGGAUCGUAAAGCUCUGUUGUAAGUCAAGAACGGGUGUGAGAGUGGAAAGUUCACACUGUGACGGUAGCUUACCAGAAAGGGACGGCUAACUACGUGCCAGCAGCCGCGGUAAUACGUAGGUCCCGAGCGUUGUCCGGAUUUAUUGGGCGUAAAGCGAGCGCAGGCGGUUUGAUAAGUCUGAAGUUAAAGGCUGUGGCUCAACCAUAGUUCGCUUUGGAAACUGUCAAACUUGAGUGCAGAAGGGGAGAGUGGAAUUCCAUGUGUAGCGGUGAAAUGCGUAGAUAUAUGGAGGAACACCGGUGGCGAAAGCGGCUCUCUGGUCUGUAACUGACGCUGAGGCUCGAAAGCGUGGGGAGCGAACAGGAUUAGAUACCCUGGUAGUCCACGCCGUAAACGAUGAGUGCUAGGUGUUGGAUCCUUUCCGGGAUUCAGUGCCGCAGCUAACGCAUUAAGCACUCCGCCUGGGGAGUACGACCGCAAGGUUGAAACUCAAAGGAAUUGACGGGGGCCCGCACAAGCGGUGGAGCAUGUGGUUUAAUUCGAAGCAACGCGAAGAACCUUACCAGGUCUUGACAUCCCGAUGCUAUUUCUAGAGAUAGAAAGUUACUUCGGUACAUCGGUGACAGGUGGUGCAUGGUUGUCGUCAGCUCGUGUCGUGAGAUGUUGGGUUAAGUCCCGCAACGAGCGCAACCCCUAUUGUUAGUUGCCAUCAUUCAGUUGGGCACUCUAGCGAGACUGCCGGUAAUAAACCGGAGGAAGGUGGGGAUGACGUCAAAUCAUCAUGCCCCUUAUGACCUGGGCUACACACGUGCUACAAUGGUUGGUACAACGAGUUGCGAGUCGGUGACGGCGAGCUAAUCUCUUAAAGCCAAUCUCAGUUCGGAUUGUAGGCUGCAACUCGCCUACAUGAAGUCGGAAUCGCUAGUAAUCGCGGAUCAGCACGCCGCGGUGAAUACGUUCCCGGGCCUUGUACACACCGCCCGUCACACCACGAGAGUUUGUA
rnacentral:rRNA from 1 species